CAUUGCCCGUCACACUAUAGGAGCUGGCCAUGUUUGAAGUCAUUACCCUUAACCGUAAGGAGGGGGAUGCCUAAGGCUAGGCUUGCGACUGGAGUGAAGUCGUAACAAGGUAGCCGUACUGGAAGGUGCGGCUG
rnacentral:rRNA from 9 species